UGAGGAAUAUUGGUCAAUGGGCGUUAGCCUGAACCAGCCAAGUAGCGUGAAGGAUGAAGGCUCUAUGGGUCGUAAACUUCUUUUAUAUAAGAAUAAAGUGCAGUAUGUAUACUGUUUUGUAUGUAUUAUAUGAAUAAGGAUCGGCUAACUCCGUGCCAGCAGCCGCGGUAAUACGGGAGGAUCCGAGCGUUGUCCGGAUUUAUUGGGUUUAAAGGGAGCGUAGGUGGACUGGUAAGUCAGUUGUGAAAGUUUGCGGCUCAACCGUAAAAUUGCAGUUGAUACUGUCAGUCUUGAGUACAGUAGAGGUGGGCGGAAUUCGUGGUGUAGCGGUGAAAUGCUUAGAUAUCACGAAGAACUCCGAUUGCGAAGGCAGCUCACUGGACUGCAACUGACACUGAUGCUCAGGUGCGAAAGCGUGGGGGAGCAAAGCAGGAUUAGAUACC
rnacentral:rRNA from 1 species